GAAAUGCGAUAAGUAAUGUGAAUUGCAGAAUUCAGUGAAUCAUCGAAUCUUUGAACGCAUCUUGCGCUCCUUGGUAUUCCGAGGAGCAUGCCUGUUUGAGUGUCAUUUAAAUUCUCAAAACCACUUUACGUGGCUUUGGAUGUGGGGGCUUUUUUUUUUGCAGGCUUUCUUCUCGAGUCUGCUCCCCUGAAAUGCAUUAGUGGUAUCUGGAGCGGAAACUGCUAGGUGUGAUAAUUAAUCGCCUGUGCCUUCCACAUGAAACAGAUUGUGCUGCUUCCAAUGUGCGCUAUAUUUGACAAACUUGACCUCAAAUCAGGUAGGACUACCCACUGAACUUAA
rnacentral:misc_RNA from 1 species